CAGAGAGUUCAUGGACAAAUUGCAACGCCAAGAUGAGUGUGUGAUGUCCUUGCUUCAGCCCUUCCUGGACCAGUGUGACCCAAUGUGACCUGCAAAUUCCUUAUUUUUUUUUUUAUAUUACAAUGGUUUGCCCCUUUUUCCUCCCAGUCCUGCAGAGUUGUAGAUCGCCACAGGCCUCUUCCGAAACUGGUCCAAUCAGCCGGUCUGCUUCUUAACACCCCCUCCCUUAACCAGGAAGUCAAUGUGAGCCAACACAGCGGGGGAAACGCCCAUUGACAUUACCUUAUGAAUGACCAGGUUAGAGGCACCCGUCCCACCAGAGAUGUUGCUGGAACAUGGUGGCACAAGGAAAUACUCUAUGCCGAUUACCUCCCCCGGGCGAUGCCAGUCCAGUAUGCACCGCCCUGCCGGACCCCCCGCCCACAAACGUCAGUGGCGUGACCGGGGCUCGAACCCUGGACUACAGAAACUUGAAGGAGGCAAAUUAAAUUGUACUGUUACUUACUAAAACAAGGGACAUAAACUCAGGAAAAUGUGGAUUGAAUACAUAUGAACAUUGUUUUGGAAUAACAUUUUAUUGUUUUUAGUAAAUUUACCUUGAGUAACAUGA